rnacentral:SRP_RNA from 1 species
GCCAGGUGUGGUGGCUCAUGCCUGCAAUCCCAGAACUUUGGGAGGCUGAGGCAGGCGAAUUGCUUGAACCCAGGAAGCAGAGGUUGCAAUGUGCCAAGAUUAUGCCAUUGCACUCUAGCCUGGGCGACAAGAGUGAGACNNNNNNNNNNGUCUCACUCUUGUCGCCCAGGCUAGAGUGCAAUGGCAUAAUCUUGGCACAUUGCAACCUCUGCUUCCUGGGUUCAAGCAAUUCUCCUGCCUCAG